AUUGAACGCUGGCGGCAUGCUUUACACAUGCAAGUCGAACGGCAGCGCGGGCUUCGGCCUGGCAGCGAGUGGCGAACGGGUGAGUAAUACAUCGGAACGUGCCCAGUAGUGGGGGAUAGCGCGCCGAAAGCCGGAUUAAUACCGCAUACGACCAGAGGGCGAAAGCGGGGGAUCUUCGGACCUCGCGCUUUUGGAGCGGCCGGUGGCAUAUUCGCUAGUUGGUGGGGUAAAGGCCUACCUAGGCGACGAUCUGUAGCUGGUCUGAGAGGACGGCCAGCCACAUUGGGAGUGAGGCACGGCCCAGACUCCUACGGUAGGCAGCAGUGGGGAAUUUUGGACAAAGGACGAGAGCCUGAUCCAGCGAUGCCGCGUGUGUGAUGAAGGCCUUCGGGUUGGAGAGCGCUGUUGGCGGUAACGAAGAGGAAUGUGCCAAUACCGCGGUUCGAUGACGGUACCCGCAGAAUAAGCACCGGCUAACUACGUG
rnacentral:rRNA from 1 species